rnacentral:lncRNA from 1 species
GGUUAAAGCGAUUGAGCCCUUUAACAUAAAAGUAGAAAAGAUUAAGUGGCUACUUAAUUACUACCAUCAAAUCCAUGAAGAUCUUCUUGCAGAUAGUGCUCAGUGACUUUCCACUUUCUAUAGAAGACAGAAGGGGUGGAACGCAAUCCACUUAAACAAUGGAAAGAUCAAGGAGUUUCUUAACCUCAGAUUUACACAACAUGGAACAGUCUGCAGGGAAAGAUUAUAGAAUUUCCAUCCCCAGUGAUCUUCGAAGAGAGAUAAAUAGCUGUCCAGAAUGCAGGGGCCAUGAACGACUGGAGAAGAGCACAGGCUUUUGGCUAUUUUUAUGGAACUAGCAGCAUUUGACCUCGAGCUUCAGAGAUGGGUAGAAAUUGGAAGAUUUGAGAGGAGAGUAAAGAAGAUUGCAGAUGCUGGGACUUCUUAUCAUUAGGAGGAAGAGCUUGAGUUAAUACUUAUUGAGGAGCAUGACCACCUGACGGUAGUGAAGAGGAGAAGCAUUUUGCGUUCUUUGAGUGAAGUCACAGGAUGCAUCUGCCCAGGGAAUGUGCUGGGAACCAGCCUACCUUGAGAAGAGGUGCCAAAAGGAAAAAUGAGAAUAAAAGGUGUGGGCAUGUCAAGACCAUGUGAUGGGUUUCUCCAAAAGGUAAACAUAGAAUUGCCAUAUGAUCCAGCAAUUCCAGUUCUGGGUAUAGACUCCAAAGAAUUGAAGGCAGAGACUCAAACACAUCCCUGCGCACCAGUGUUCCUAGCAGCAUUAUUCACUAAAGGCAAAAAGUGGAAACAACUCAAAUGUCCAUAAACGGAAGAGUGCAUAAACAAAAUGUGGUUAUACAUACAGUGGAAUAUUAUCCAGCCUUAACAAAGAAGGAAAUUCGGAUAUAUGCUACAACAUGGAUGGAGCUUAAAAACAUUAUGCUAAGUGAAAUAAACCAGACACAAAAGAAAAAUAGUAGCUCAUCAACCACAAAGUCUUCAGAAAAUCGUCAACCUCAGCCAACAAAUAGUACUCAACCCUAUGGAAAAAAGUGGGCAGUCAUGACUCAGGCAAAGCGACUCUGUUUUUCUGAAUGGAAAAAACAUUCCACGUUUUGAUCUUGACCAAGAACAUUACUGAAUGCAACUCUGAGG